CAGAAUUGGCAUGGCAGCUGAAGCAGAGGAGGCUCAACUACAACAUGCAGCACGUGGAGGGAGUUGAGUGGGCAAAACUGGUCUCGGCCCACUCCCAGCUCUAAACUUCAAUUUGAAACCGUAGGGGAGGGUCCGGCUUUGUGUUCACGGUUUUACCCAACGCGGUUUUACCCACGGCGCUGCCAGACGGAAUAGCAAGUGCUCGGGGGAGACAACACGGUUUUCAAAGUUAGACGCUACAGAGGGCUUUCAACGAGAGAAGCUGUCGAAAGAAAGUCAAGGUUUGACUCUUAUCAUUCCUCUUGGAAGAUACUCGUAUCAUAAGCUACCGUUUUGGCCAAUAUCAACGCCGCAGUGCAUGCAAAGACAGAUAGCGGGAAUUGUAGAAGGCCGACAAGAGGGCGUCGCAAACCUGAUAUAGGAUGUUCUUUUCCGCGUGAAAUCAUGCCCUAAGUUCUUGGAGUAAUGGCAGACGCGACUAAGGAUUCGUCCCGAUGGCGUAGCGGGACUUCACGUUUCGCGUCACUUUGAGGAGCUGCGUGGUGUUGCGAGAUAUUAUCCAGAAGACCCUGCAGUAACAUCAAGGCCUUGAAGCCGCAGUGCAACAGUGGCGGCAUUCUGGGGAAGAGUAAGGCGCUGGCUUUUGCUCCGGCCCAGUAUCGUUCUCACAGCAAACGAAGAUCCAUUACUACAACUCAUGGGAAGUAUGCAGGACUUGUUACAGCCAAGACUACAGCGAUUUCGCAUCAAGCUAAUGCCGACCGGCACUGUGGUCACAAGCAUCUUACCUCUCCUUCAAAUGGCGCAGAGGCCGGUCUCGAUGGCAGAAGAGAAUGCUCCAUUUUAAUGGUGGAGGACCUCAUUGUCGUCGUUGUGCGGUGAGGUAUCGGUACAUGCUAAUCCUCCGUCGAGAGCACCGCCAGAAGUUCCAGCAGGAGGCGUUGAAGGGUUGUUUUUGCAAGGAGGUCCUGAACUCCAUACUAUUUUGGCUUACGAAGAAUAUGGAACAGAUCGGGCGUCAACAAGAAGUAAACGCGCGAAGACAACGGAUCUCCUGUCCACGGCAACCGACACCGAUUCCAGAAUUACUGCUGGCACUAAACAGCUUCUGUUCGAAGACACGGGUGCCAGACCAAGCUGUUUCGGGUGCUCAACGAGGAAUUUCGAGUUUUACGUUAGGAGUCAACGAGUUUCAGGUUACCAAAGAGUACCAAGGCUCAAAAUUUUGAGCGCGACUUUCUUUCCGUUGCUUUUCUUCCUAUCACAUCAUCAUUCCAUGCUGUGUGCGGCUUUCGUUCAUUUCCUUAGGAACUCAGGAAGCUGCUUUCAUCAGGUCUCUUUCUUUAGCUAGUGACAAACAACAACAACAACUUUAUUUUGUUUAGCUAGUGUUUAGCUAGUUUUGAACGCGACUCAUGCUUCCUUUCCUUCCUGCAACGCGUCUGAUAGCGAGGCUAUAGAGCCCAACUGCAAAGUCAUAUCCUAAAAGACGAGCUGCUGUACUUGACGUUGAACCUUACAAUGUUUUACAUUGUGCUCCAGAACUGACAAGUGAAUAGAACAUUUCACGAAAUCCGAGUGCAGCUUGCGCGGCGUAUCACUCUGAGCACUCGACAUAGGAAAGAGAAUUGCCGAUCGUGCUUCGUUUUCUCUGGCCUUGACACGUUCACGUAUUAACGUUACGCUCGUGGUGUAUGCCACCCAAAUAUGGCGACACGAACACCACAUGCAGCUGAUAAAGCAGCUGUCGUGCAUGAGCCGAUAAUAAACGACAAGGAUACAUCGCAGAACAUCAACAGUGUGUCGACGAAAGCGAAAGUUGCAGUGACGGGUAGCCCAUGUAGGGACAACCUGUAGAAAGGCAGCCAUUUCAUGCUUGCGAAAAGAAGUCUGAGAGGGAGGAAUAGUUUGAAAUUGAGAUGAUGGGUAAGAGAGCUCUUUCGAAGGGAAAGAGGCAUUUGAAAAGAAAGUAUAAUUUACAGAUUUGCGCCAAAAUUUCGGAAGGAGACUACCAUCUCCAAAGAGACUGACCAGCACAUACAAGUUCUUUCGAGUUCUAUUGGACAGCUCCAGGAGGCCGAAAAGUUAUUUUCCGCUGUUACGUUUAUUAAUAUGUUUAAGCAGCAGUUUAGUAGAAAUGUCACGUGAGGAUAAAGAUUUAGGUAGAUCAGUAGGUUAACUUGCACAUGUGGUUGUUCUCCUGUACUUUGAUAUAGUAUAUGCUGUCUACGCAUCCGGCAGCGGGAUGUCGUGAACUUACCUUGAAUGUUAUUAGACGGUGUGUAUGUAGCAAAUAUGAGAUGACAUGUGAUCAGUGUACCCCAUUCAAGCAAAGAUUAAUAAAAGCGAAGUUUGC